UGGAGGUACAGCCCACGGAUA
rnacentral:sRNA from 1 species